rnacentral:ncRNA from 1 species
GACUUACGGCUCCAGUUGCCAAGGUUCAAUGUCAGAUGGGGAGUCACACUAGGGCAGUAUACCUGUCUAUCCGAAGAGCAGUCUCUGAGGGUGAGUCCAGGGAAGAUGGAAAUCUCCUGUGGAGCAGAAGGAUAAACCACUCCUGAUCAUGACUUUCAGAUUUUUUUCUGUGAAAGAGGGGCCUUAUGAUACUUCUGACUUUUUGUUUAGUAAUCAAGAGAUGUCAUAGAAGUUA